rnacentral:rRNA from 1 species
AUGUGCAAGUACAGAAACUUUCUUCCUGGGUUCGAAGAAAUAGACGACAUUAUUGACUUGACAUCUCCUGCCGCACACACACCAAAGACAUGGGACAAUGCAAAAACGUGUUAUUACCCAAUGAGAACACGGAACUAUGAGAAUGAUGUAAGCUCAUCACAAAAGAACAAGAAGAGUUACUUGACAACACCAUUUAUUGGCAAGAGGCUUUUUACAGACGAGGUCAUCGAAGAAGAUGACCAAGAUGGGACCAAAGAUCAACCAAUCCCUGUCAUCGAUGAGUUGCAAUUAUCUCCGGACGUUCAAAUUCUGGGGGAGAGAGUAUUCAAUGGUUCAUGCUCUAACAUGGUAAACACAGCAGACAAUCUGUAA